rnacentral:rRNA from 2 species
UCAUGGCUCAGGAUGAACGCUAGCUACAGGCUUAACACAUGCAAGUCGAGGGGAAACGAUAGAGAAAGCUUGCUUUUUCUAGGCGUCGACCGGCGCACGGGUGAGUAACGCGUAUCCAACCUGCCCAUCACUUGGGAAUAACCUUGCGAAAGUAAGACUAAUACCCAAUGAUAUCUCUAGAAGACAUCUGAAGGAGAUUAAAGAUUUAUCGGUGAUGGAUGGGGAUGCGUCUGAUUAGCUUGUUGGCGGGGUAACGGCCCACCAAGGCGACGAUCAGUAGGGGUUCUGAGAGGAAGGUCCCCCACAUUGGAACUGAGACACGGUCCAAACUCCUACGGGAGGCAGCAGUGAGGAAUAUUGGUCAAUGGACGAGAGUCUGAACCAGCCAAGUAGCGUGCAGGAAGACGGCCCUAUGGGUUGUAAACUGCUUUUAUAAGGGAAUAAAGUGAGCCUCGUGAGGCUUUUUGCAUGUACCUUAUGAAUAAGGACCGGCUAAUUCCGUGCCAGCAGCCGCGGUAAUACGGAAGGUCCGGGCGUUAUCCGGAUUUAUUGGGUUUAAAGGGAGCGUAGGCCGGAGAUUAAGCGUGUUGUGAAAUGUAGAUGCUCAACAUCUGCACUGCAGCGCGAACUGGUUUCCUUGAGUACGCACAAGGUGGGCGGAAUUCGUGGUGUAGCGGUGAAAUGCUUAGAUAUCACGAAGAACUCCGAUUGCGAAGGCAGCUCACUGGAGCGCAACUGACGCUGAAGCUCGAAAGUGCGGGUAUCGAACAGGAUUAGAUACCCUGGUAGUCCGCACGGUAAACGAUGGAUGCCCGCUGUUGGUCUGAAUAGGUCAGCGGCCAAGCGAAAGCAUUAAGCAUCCCACCUGGGGAGUACGCCGGC